AUGAACGCUGGCGGCGUGCCUAAUACAUUCAAGUCGAGCGAACAGACGAGGAGCUUGCUCCUCUGACGUUAGCGGCGGACGGGUGAGUAACACGUGGAUAACCUACCUAUAAGACUGGGAUAACUUCGGGAAACCGGAGCUAAUACCGGAUAAUAUAUUGAACCGCAUGGUUCAAUAGUGAAAGACGGUUUUGCUGUCACUUAUAGAUGGAUCCGCGCCGCAUUAGCUAGUUGGUAAGGUAACGGCUUACCAAGGCGACGAUGCGUAGCCGACCUGAGAGGGUGAUCGGCCACACUGGAACUGAGACACGGUCCAGACUCCUACGGGAGGCAGCAGUAGGGAAUCUUCCGCAAUGGGCGAAAGCCUGACGGAGCAACGCCGCGUGAGUGAUGAAGGUCUUCGGAUCGUAAAACUCUGUUAUUAGGGAAGAACAAAUGUGUAAGUAACUAUGCACGUCUUGACGGUACCUAAUCAGAAAGCCACGGCUAACUACGUG
rnacentral:rRNA from 1 species